rnacentral:rRNA from 1 species
GAUGAACGCUAGCUACAGGCUUAACACAUGCAAGUCGAGGGGCAGCAUGGUCUUAGCUUGCUAAGGCCGAUGGCGACCGGCGCACGGGUGAGUAACACGUAUCCAACCUGCCGUCUACUCUUGGACAGCCUUCUGAAAGGAAGAUUAAUACAAGAUGGCAUCAUGAGUCCACAUGUUCACAUGAUUAAAGGUAUUCCGGUAGACGAUGGGGAUGCGUUCCAUUAGAUAGUAGGCGGGGUAACGGCCCACCUAGUCUUCGAUGGAUAGGGGUUCUGAGAGGAAGGUCCCCCACAUUGGAACUGAGACACGGUCCAAACUCCUACGGGAGGCAGCAGUGAGGAAUAUUGGUCAAUGGGCGAGAGCCUGAACCAGCCAAGUAGCGUGAAGGAUGACUGCCCUAUGGGUUGUAAACUUCUUUUAUAAAGGAAUAAAGUCGGGUAUGCAUACCCGUUUGCAUGUACUUUAUGAAUAAGGAUCGGCUAACUCCGUGCCAGCAGCCGCGGUAAUACGGAGGAUCCGAGCGUUAUCCGGAUUUAUUGGGUUUAAAGGGAGCGUAGAUGGAUGUUUAAGUCAGUUGUGAAAGUUUGCGGCUCAACCGUAAAAUUGCAGUUGAUACUGGAUAUCUUGAGUGCAGUUGAGGCAGGCGGAAUUCGUGGUGUAGCGGUGAAAUGCUUAGAUAUCACGAAGAACUCCGAUUGCGAAGGCAGCCUGCUAAGCUGCAACUGACAUUGAGGCUCGAAAGUGUGGGUAUCAAACAGGAUUAGAUACCCUGGUAGUCCACACGGUAAACGAUGAAUACUCGCUGUUUGCGAUAUACAGCAAGCGGCCAAGCGAAAGCGUUAAGUAUUCCACCUGGGGAGUACGCCGGCAACGGUGAAACUCAAAGGAAUUGACGGGGGCCCGCACAAGCGGAGGAACAUGUGGUUUAAUUCGAUGAUACGCGAGGAACCUUACCCGGGCUUAAAUUGCAGAUGAAUUACGGUGAAAGCCGUAAGCCGCAAGGCAUCUGUGAAGGUGCUGCAUGGUUGUCGUCAGCUCGUGCCGUGAGGUGUCGGCUUAAGUGCCAUAACGAGCGCAACCCUUGUUGUCAGUUACUAACAGGUUCCGCUGAGGACUCUGACAAGACUGCCAUCGUAAGAUGUGAGGAAGGUGGGGAUGACGUCAAAUCAGCACGGCCCUUACGUCCGGGGCUACACACGUGUUACAAUGGGGGGUACAGAGGGCCGCUACCACGCGAGUGGAUGCCAAUCCCAAAAACCUCUCUCAGUUCGGACUGGAGUCUGCAACCCGACUCCACGAAGCUGGAUUCGCUAGUAAUCGCGCAUCAGCCACGGCGCGGUGAAUACGUUCCCGGGCCU